rnacentral:rRNA from 1 species
CCUACGGGUGGCUGCAGUGAGGAAUAUUGGUCAAUGGCCGUAAGGCUGAACCAGCCAAGUCGCGUGAAGGAAGAAGGACCUAUGGUUUGUAAACUUCUUUUAUAGGGGAAUAAAGGUAUCCACGUGUGGCUAUUUGCAUGUACCCUAUGAAUAAGCAUCGGCUAACUCCGUGCCAGCAGCCGCGGUAAUACGGAGGAUGCGAGCGUUAUCCGGAUUUAUUGGGUUUAAAGGGUGCGUAGGUUGUUUUUUAAGUCAGCGGUGAAAGUUUGUGGCUCAACCCGAAAAUUGCCGUUGAAACUGGACGGCUAGAGUGUGUUAGAGGGAGGUGGAAUGCGUGGUGUAGCGGUGAAAUGCAUAGAGAUCACGCAGAACUCCGAUUGCGAAGGCAGCUUACUAGGCCAUAACUGACACUGAAGUACGAAAGCGUGGGGAGCAAACAGGAUUAGAUACCCUUGUAGUC